rnacentral:rRNA from 1 species
UACGAAGGGUGCAAGCGUUACUCGGAAUUACUGGGCGUAAAGCGUGCGUAGGCGGUUUGUUAAGUCCGUUGUGAAAGCCCUGGGCUCAACCUGGGAAUUGCAGUGGAUACUGGCGAGCUAGAGUGCGGUAGAGGAUGGUGGAAUUCCCGGUGUAGCGGUGAAAUGCGUAGAGAUCGGGAGGAACACCCGUGGCGAAGGCGGCCAUCUGGACCAGCACUGACGCUGAGGCACGAAAGCGUGGGGAGCAAACCGG